UACGAGGGGGGCAAGCGUUGUUCGGAAUUAUUGGGCGUAAAGAGCGCGCAGGCGGUCGUUCAAGUCGCGUGUGAAAGCCCCCGGCUCAACUGGGGAGGGUCACGCGAUACUGAUCGACUCGAAGGCAGGAGAGGGAAGUGGAAUUCCCGGUGUAGUGGUGAAAUGCGUAGAUAUCGGGAGGAACACCAGUGGCGAAGGCGGUUGCCUGGAGCUUUGCUGACGCUGAUGCGCGAAAGCGUGGGGAGCGAUCCGG
rnacentral:rRNA from 1 species